rnacentral:rRNA from 1 species
UGUGGUGAUGAUGGCGAGAAGGAUACACCUGUUCCCAUGUCGAACACAGAAGUUAAGCUUCUUAGCGCCGAGAGUAGUUGGGGGAUCGCUCCCU